AAAAGACCGCUGUGCAUUGGAGACCUGAGCUGUUUCUGGAAGAUGCCAUUAUUUACCCUAUCUGGGAAAGCAUACCUGGUUGGAUGAUUAAUACAAAAGGUCCAUUCCCUCGCCCUUCUGAUGGAAUGUAAUCUUCACCAGUCUGGAAUGCGCUGGUCAGCAGUAGUGAGGUAAUCCGCCUGAUGGACUCUUUCCAUCCCCCAAGGAAAGGAAACUGAAGCACAGAGAGGUUAAAGAACAUGACCCAGAUCACGCAGCUGGGAAAUGGUGAAAGCGAAAUGUGAGCCCAGGCAGUGUGACUCCAGAACCCAAACACUCAGCCACUACUCUGCUUGGCCCCAACUCUGCUAAAG